UGACAAUAUCGCAAUUACAGACACUUGCAGCAAGCCUUAACCCAUCAGAUGUAGAUGGGAGAACAACUAACACAGAAGUGUAUCGGGAUUCUCUGGGCGGACCAGUAACCCGCGUUUACUACCGUCCUCCCAUAUCGGGGCCAGAUGUCCAGUCCACUGCAGUGAGCCAGCAGAGAUUGGACCAGAUACUGAUCAAUCUCAACCUGGAA